UUCCACGUGGUGUUUGAGUUUCCUCCACUGCUGACGAAUGCUGUUGAUCCAUCAUUCAUUUUUAUGCUUGCCUGAAAUAUACAGUUGCGUUGGAGCAACUUUGGGCUUCUGCUGUGCGUCCCUGACGAUGAUCAUCAGCCACUGGUUUCGGUAACAUGCCUGACACAAAGAAAUAUAAUAUAUUAAUGAAAAAUAUAUUCAUAAAACGUGCAUGUAAAUUUAAAAAUGCAAGUUGGGCCUGGAAACAUUGCCCUUACUUUAAAUGUCCACUAGAUGGAACCAUUUGGAUAACUGUUUGUGUCUUUGUUCAUUGAAGUGUGUGUGUGUGUGUGUGUGUGUGUGUGUGUGUGUGUGUGUGUGUGUGUGUGUGUGUGUGUGUGUGUGUGUGCAUAUAUACUGUAUGCUAUUUGCAUUCUGUCUGGUAACAAUUUAUAUUAUUAUUAUUAUUAUACUAUUAAAUAUGUACCAGAUGCAUGUAAUCCCUCAAAUUAUUCUAGUCCAGUCACUGUUUGCUCAUUGUGUUUCAAUAAUUUCAAAUUUUUUAUAACUGUAAAAGACUAGAUACAGACCAGGUUCAUCAUCAUUUCCGCAGGGCUGACCUUGUGUGGGUUCAUUUUAUCAAGAAUCUUUUUCAGCUGCUCAAACGUCGGCCUCGUGGUCACAUUGUAGUUCCAGCAUCUCUUUAUCAGCUGUGUGAAAUUUGACAAUGAGUGCUUCCAUUUUUUUUUUUUUUUCAUUCCUCUAGCUCAAUUGGUAGAGCAUUGCCAUAUCAAGAGCAAAGUUGGGGGUUCGAUUCCCCGGGAACACAUGAUAGAAAAAAAAAAACAGCCUGAAUGUACAGUAAGUCGCUUUGGAUAAAAGCGUCUGCUAAAUGCAUGAAUUUAAUUUAAUUUUUCCCAUUUAUCCACAGUUAUCAUAUUUUAAUCAGACAUAGUAAAAAUUUCACAUCAGGAAGAAGUUGAUCUUCAAUGAAAAGUUCUGCAAGGAAAGGAAAUAUGCUCAAGUAAAUACAUGCAUCAAUUACAUCCAUACAAACCUCAGUAAUCAUCAGGAUCUGGGCAAUCAUUGUCUGCUUUCCUUGCCUUCAGUUUGGGAAGUGAUGGGCGCCAGAUGACAUCAAGCUUCACUGACUCUGCCUGUUCCUGCUCAUGAAACAAUAAUUGCAUUUCUUAUCAUCACCUAUAAAACGGUCUAAAAAUCCUCAAAUCUUCCUGAUCCUUGUAUACUUACUGAAAUGAGGUCACUGCGAGUGGCAGUUUCCACCAAGAUAAUAGAGUAGCUUGAGGAGACGUAGAAAAGACAAAUGUUUAUUUUACACUUCUUCGAGACAGAGUUUUAUUUGAGAACAAAUUGCUGCUCUGUGAUGCAUCCAUAAAAUAAACAAAGUAUUUACACGUA